rnacentral:rRNA from 1 species
GACGAACGCUGGCGGCGUGCUUAACACAUGCAAGUCGAGCGGUAAGGCCCUUUCGGGGGUACACGAGCGGCGAACGGGUGAGUAACACGUGGGUGACCUGCCCUUAGCUCUGGGAUAAGCCUGGGAAACUGGGUCUAAUACCGGAUAUGACUCCAUGACGCAUGUUGUGGGGUGGAAAGCCUUGUGCGGCUAGGGAUGGGCCUGCGGCCUAUCAGCUUGUUGGUGGGGUGAGGCCUACCAAGGCGACGACGGGUAGCCGGCCUGAGAGGGCGACCGGCCACACUGGGACUGAGACACGGCCCAGACUCCUACGGGAGGCAGCAGUGGGGAAUCUUGCGCAAUGGGCGAAAGCCUGACGCAGCGACGCCGCGUGGGGAUGACGGCCUGGUUGUAA